AUUUGAUCUAGAGGGUGAGCUUCAACCUAACAUAUAAAUACCACCUCUAGGGCUUACACUUUCUCACACCAAUACCAACAUUCUCUAAGCCUCCUCCACAUUUCAAUCUUCUCAUAUUAAGCUCUUUAAUCCUCAUCAUGGGUGUUUUUACAUAUGAAACUGAGUUCACCUCUGCAUCCCACCACCAAGACUCUACAAGGCCUUUGUUCUUGAUGCCGACAACCUCAUCCCCAAAAUUGCCCCACAGGCUGUGAAGAGUACCGAAAUCGUUGAGGGAGAUGGAGGUGUAGGAACCAUCAAGAAGAUUCACCUCGGUGAAGGAAGCGAAUACAGCUAUGUGAAGCAUCAGAUUGAUGGACUUGACAAAGACAACUUUGUUUAUAACUACAGCAUAAUCGAAGGUGAUGCUAUCGGUGACAAGGUUGAGAAAAUCUCUUAUGAGAUUAAGUUGGUGGCAUCUCCAACUGGCUCCAUCAUCAAGAGCACCAGCCACUACCAUUGCAAAGGAGAGGUUGAGAUCAAGGAAGAGCAUGUCAAGGCCGGAAAAGAAAGAGCCGCUGGUUUGUUCAAGAUCAUUGAGAACUACCUUUUGGCCAACCCUGAGGCCUACAACUAAAUCAAACUACGAUAAUGCUAGUAUACUACUGCAUUAUACUGUGUCGUUGUGUCUUGUUCUUUAUAUCAUUUGGUGUGGCUUUGAUCUAUAUUCAUUUCUUUUUCUAUCGUACCAAGACAGAGAAUGUUUUGGAUUUUACUUGGAGUGAUGAGGAAUUGUGUAACGGUUUUACAUUUCAUUUGAACAAGUAAAGAAUAAAAUUUUCUGUUCCUCUUUAAUUU